rnacentral:rRNA from 1 species
AACAAACGCUGGCGGCGUGCCUAACACAUGCAAGUCGUACGAGAAAGGGUCCUUCGGGGCCUGAGUAAAGUGGCGCACGGGUGAGUAACGCGUGGAUAAUCUGCCCUUCAGUUGGGAGUAACUCAUCGAAAGGUGGGCUAAUACCGAAUAAUGCUGUGAGACCUCGGUUGAUCAGCCAAAGAGAGCCUCUGCUUGCAAGCCCUCGCUGAAGGAUGAGUCCGCGUACCAUUAGCUAGUUGAUAGGGUAAUGGCCUCCCAAGGCGACGAUGGUUAGCGGGUCUGAGAGGGUGAUCAGCCACACUGGAACUGAGACACGGUCCAGGCUCCUACGGGAGGCAGCAGUGAGGAAUCUUGCGCAAUGGGGCAACCCUGACGCAGCAACGCCGCGUGAGUGAGGAAGGUCUUCGGAUCGUAAAGCUCUGUCGGAUGGAAAGAACCGCAUAGGGGUAAACAGCCCCUGUGUCUGACGGUACCAUCAAAGGAAGCACCGGCUAACUCCGUGCCAGCCGCCGCCGUAACAC